rnacentral:rRNA from 1 species
CACGAACUGUGCAAACGUUAUUCGGAAUCACUGGGCUUAAAGAGUUCGUAGGCGGUCUGUUAAGUCGGGUGUGAAAUCCCCCGUCUCAACCGGGGAAUGGCGCCCUAAACUGGCGGGCUGGAGUGAGAUAGGGGUGUGCGGAACUUCCGGUGGAGCGGUGAAAUGUGUUGAUAUCGGAAGGAACGCCGGUGGCGAAAGCGGCACACUGGAUCUCAACUGACGCUGAGGCACGAAAGCCAGGGGAGCAAAC